rnacentral:tRNA from 1 species
GCGGCGGGGUAGCGCAGCCAGGUAGCGCGCGGGGCUCAUAACCCCGAGGUCGCCCGGUUCAAAUCCGGGCCCCCGCA